rnacentral:piRNA from 1 species
UCCUCCAAGGUGAAAUGCUUAAUGUGUCUU